ensembl:lncRNA
AAUUAAAAGACACUUACUCCUUGGAAGAAAAGUUAUGACCAACCUAGACAGCAUAUUAAAAAGCAGAGACAUUACUUUGCCAACAAAGGUCUGUCUAGUCAAGGCUAUGGUUUUUCCAGUGGUCGUGGAUGGAUGUGAGAGUUAGACUGUGAAGAAAGCUGAGCACCAAAGAAUUGAUGCUUUUGAACUGUGGUGUUGGAGGAGACUCUUGAGAGUCCCUUGGACUGCAAGGAGAUCCAACUAGUCCAUCCUAAAGGAAAUCAGUCCUGAAUGUUCAUUGGAAGGACAGAUGUUGAAGCUGAAACUCCAAUAUUUUGGCCACCUGAUGUGAAGAGCUGACUCAUUCGAAAAGACCCUGAUGCUGGGAAAGAUUGGGGGCAGGAGGAGAAGGGGACGACAGAGGAUGAGAUGGUUGGAUGGUAUCACCGACUCAAUGGACAUGAGUUUGAGUAACCUCCCUUGACUGGUUUUCUUUGUGUAACGUGGAGGGCAAGAUCCAGGAGAACCUGAAUUCACACGCAGGCAUCUCCUCCUACUGUGCCUGGUAUCACUUGUCUCCAGGGUGGAUGUUCACACAGGUUCCCCUAGAGGACGCCAAAGGGCUACAUCUGAUGGAAGAUGAAGGCUGGAAAAGUCCUUUCUUGGCCAGUUUCAGGGUCUCGAGAUGAUAUUUCCUGGAUAAUUGGAGCUGACCCUAAAUCCAAUGACAGCAGUCCUUAUAAGAGAAAGGCAGAAGGAAAAUUCGGCUCAGACAAAAGAGGGAACACAGGGAAGAGAGCCCACAUGAGGACGGAAGCAGAGACUGGAGGAUGCACCCACAAGCCCAUGAACACCUGGAGCCACAGAAGCUGGAAGAGACAAGGAGGGAGUCUCCCCGGGGCCCUCCCUGGAGGGAGCGCCCCUCGAUCUUUGGACUGUUGGGCCCC